rnacentral:rRNA from 1 species
GAUGAACGCUAGCUACAGGCUUAACACAUGCAAGUCGAGGGGUAACAAGAGGAAAGCUUGCUUUUCUUGUUGUCGACCGGCGCACGGGUGAGUAACGCGUAUCCAACCUGCCCCCAACUAGGGAAUAACCUUGCGAAAGUAAGACUAAUACCCUAUAAUUUCCUCAGAUGACAUCUGACGAGGAAUAAAGAUUUAUCGGUUGUGGAUGGGGAUGCGUCUGAUUAGCUUGUUGGCGGGGUAACGGCCCACCAAGGCAACGAUCAGUAGGGGUUCUGAGAGGAAGGUCCCCCACAUUGGAACUGAGACACGGUCCAAACUCCUACGGGAGGCAGCAGUGAGGAAUAUUGGUCAAUGGGCGGAAGCCUGGACCAGCCAAGUAGCGUGCAGGAUGACGGCCCUAUGGGUUGUAAACUGCUUUUAUACAGGAAUAAAGUUAGCCACGUGUGGUUAUUUGUAGGUACUGUAUGAAUAAGGACCGGCUAAUUCCGUGCCAGCAGCCGCCGUAA